UCUCCGUAGGUGAACCUGCGGAGGGAUCAUUACAGGGUUCAUGCCCUAACGGGUAGAUCUCCCACCCUAUGUUAUCAUAACUUUGUUGCUUUGGCGGGCCGUCAGGCCUCGGCUUGGCUACCGGCUCUCGCUGGUAAGCGCCCGCCAGAGAACCCCAAACCCUGAAUAUCAGUGUCGUCUGAGUACUAUAUAAUAGUUAAAACUUUCAACAACGGAUCUCUUGGUUCUG
rnacentral:misc_RNA from 1 species